GGUUAAGUGAAUAAGGGCGCACGGUGGAUGCCUUGGCACUAGGAGCCGAUGAAGGACGGGACUAACACCGAUAUGCUUUGGGGAGCUGUAAGUAAGCUAUGAUCCAGAGAUUUCCGAAUGGGGGAACCCAAUAUCUUUUAUAGGAUAUUACUUUUCAGUGAAUACAUAGCUGAUUAGAGGUAGACGCAGAGAACUGAAACAUCUUAGUAUCUGCAGGAAGAGAAAGAAAAUUCGAUUCCCUGAGUAGCGGCGAGCGAAACGGGAAGAGCCCAAACCAACAAGCUUGCUUGUUGGGGUUGUAGGACUCCAAUAUGGUAGUCUGUUAGUAUAGUUGAAGGAUUUGGAAAAUUCCGCUAAAGAGGGUGAAAGCCCCGUAGACGAAAUGCUAACAACACCUAGGAGGAUCCUGAGUACGGCGGAACACGAGAAAUUCCGUCGGAAUCCGCGGGGACCAUCCCGCAAGGCUAAAUACUCCCUAGUGACCGAUAGUGAACCAGUACCGUGAGGGAAAGGUGAAAAGCACCCCGGAAGGGGAGUGAAAUAGAUCCUGAAACCGUGUGCCUACAACAAGUCAAAGCUCGUUAAUGAGUGAUGGCGUGCCUUUUGUAGAAUGAACCGGCGAGUUACGAUUGCAUGCGAGGUUAAGUCGAAGAGACGGAGCCGCAGCGAAAGCGAGUCUGAAUAGGGCGAAUGAGUAUGUAGUCGUAGACCCGAAACCAUGUGAUCUACCCAUGUCCAGGUUGAAGGUGCGGUAAAACGCACUGGAGGACCGAACCCACGUACGUUGAAAAGUGCGGGGAUGAGGUGUGGGUAGCGGAGAAAUUCCAAACGAACUUGGAGAUAGCUGGUUCUCUCCGAAAUAGCUUUAGGGCUAGCCUCGGAAUUGAGAAUGAUGGAGGUAGAGCACUGUUUGGACUAGGGGCCCAUCUCGGGUUACCGAAUUCAGAUAAACUCCGAAUGCCAUUCAUUUAUAUCCGGGAGUCAGACUGCGAGUGAUAAGAUCCGUAGUCGAAAGGGAAACAGCCCAGACCACCAGCUAAGGUCCCAAAAUAUAUGUUAAGUGGAAAAGGAUGUGGGGUUGCACAGACAACUAGGAUGUUGGCUUAGAAGCAGCCACCAUUUAAAGAGUGCGUAAUAGCUCACUAGUCGAGUGACCCUGCGCCGAAAAUGUACCGGGGCUAAACAUAUUACCGAAGCUGUGGACUACACCAUUAGGUGUAGUGGUAGGAGAGCGUUCUAAGGGCGUUGAAGGUCGAUCGUGAGGACGGCUGGAGCGCUUAGAAGUGAGAAUGCCGGUAUGAGUAGCGAAAGACAGGUGAGAAUCCUGUCCACCGUAUGACUAAGGUUUCCUGGGGAAGGCUCGUCCGCCCAGGGUUAGUCGGGACCUAAGCCGAGGCCGAUAGGCGUAGGCGAUGGACAACAGGUUGAUAUUCCUGUACCAGUUGUUUUUGUUUGAGCAAUGGAGGGACGCAGUAGGCUAAGGAAUGCAUGCGAUUGGAAGUGCAUGUCCAAGCAAUGAGUCUUGAGUAGAGUUAAAUGCUUUACUCUCUAAGGACAAGUUGUGACGGGGAGCGAAAUAAUAGUAGCGAAGUUCCUGAUGUCACACUGCCAAGAAAAGCUUCUAGUGAGAAAACAACUGCCCGUACCGUAAACCGACACAGGUAGUCGAGGAGAGUAUCCUAAGGUGAGCGAGCGAACUCUCGUUAAGGAACUCGGCAAAAUGACCCCGUAACUUUGGGAGAAGGGGUGCUGACUUCGGUCAGCCGCAGUGAAUAGGCCCAAGCGACUGUUUAUCAAAAACACAGGUCUCUGCAAAAUCGUAAGAUGAAGUAUAGGGGCUGACGCCUGCCCGGUGCUGGAAGGUUAAGAGGAUGGGUUAGCUUCGGCGAAGCUCAGAAUUGAAGCCCCAGUAAACGGCGGCCGUAACUAUAACGGUCCUAAGGUAGCGAAAUUCCUUGUCGGGUAAGUUCCGACCCGCACGAAAGGCGUAACGAUUUGGGCACUGUCUCAACGAGAGACUCGGUGAAAUUUUAGUACCUGUGAAGAUGCAGGUUACCCGCGACAGGACGGAAAGACCCCAUGGAGCUUUACUGUAGUUUGAUAUUGAGUGUUUGUACCACAUGUACAGGAUAGGUAGGAGCCGAUGAGACCGGAACGCUAGUUUCGGAGGAGGCGCUGGUGGGAUACUACCCUUGUGUUAUGAACCCUCUAACCCGCACCACUAAUCGUGGUGGGAGACAGUGUCAGAUGGGCAGUUUGACUGGGGCGGUCGCCUCCUAAAAGGUAACGGAGGCGCCCAAAGGUUCCCUCAGAAUGGUUGGAAAUCAUUCGAAGAGUGUAAAGGCAGAAGGGAGCUUGACUGCGAGACCUACAAGUCGAGCAGGGACGAAAGUCGGGCUUAGUGAUCCGGUGGUUCCGCAUGGAAGGGCCAUCGCUCAACGGAUAAAAGCUACCCUGGGGAUAACAGGCUUAUCUCCCCCAAGAGUCCACAUCGACGGGGAGGUUUGGCACCUCGAUGUCGGCUCGUCGCAUCCUGGGGCUGUAGUCGGUCCCAAGGGUUGGGCUGUUCGCCCAUUAAAGCGGCACGCGAGCUGGGUUCAGAACGUCGUGAGACAGUUCGGUCCCUAUCCGUCGCGGGCGUUGGAAAUUUGAGAGGAGCUGUCCUUAGUACGAGAGGACCGGGAUGGACUUACCGCUGGUGUACCAGUUGUUCUGCCAAGGGCAUUGCUGGGUAGCUAUGUAGGGAAGGGAUAAACGCUGAAAGCAUCUAAGUGUGAAGCCCACCUCAAGAUGAGAUUUCCCAUUUCUUUAAGAAAGUAAGACCCCUGAGAGAUGAUCAGGUAGAUAGGUUGGAAGUGGAAGGCUAGUGAUAGUUGGAGCGGACCAAUACUAAUCGGUCGAGGACUUAACCAA
rnacentral:rRNA from 1 species